GGAUCCUACAGGACAUUUAAUUAUCACGUCUCCUUAGGCCCCUCUCAACUGUGGCAGUUUCUCAGACUUCGUUGUUUUUGCUCUUUCUCUUUCACGUGGGGAGAGUGUGGAACAGCUCAGUUUCUCCAGCAAGGAAUCCUCCUGUCCUGUCUAAAAGGCAACCUGCAUCCCAGGAGCAAAGAGAAGGAAAAGCACUGAGGAGUACGGCCAUGCCAUACGCAGAUUCGCAAUUAAUUCUCUCACUUGCAGCCCUAUGACUAAUUCUGGGCCAGGCUGUGCAUAUUGUCUCCAAAUCCUGAGGCUCUUGCCUCCCAUUCUCCAAAGAAUAAUCAGCCUCCUGCCUGGGGGGUGAUUACACAGCUGCUAGGGUUCUAUGCCUGAGCCAUAAGUGAGGUACACAGACUGUUUCCCAUGUUAACAUAUUCUUCAGUUUAUUCCCACACUCUCUGCUGUACUGGAUUCCUCAGUUUCUGAGCUUCUCCAGGAGUCUACAGGACUAACUUAUUCUCUCCUUGUUAGUACCAACUUCUUGCUUGUCCUUUAAGAUAUGAUAUCCUCAAUCUGGUUAUAGCAGACACCUUUCCUACAUCCCUUUCCUGUCUUUUGAAAUAUGAUUGAAAUAUUUCAUCAAUUAAUGUCUUCUCUCCUAUUCUCUUUGAACUUGCAAGCUUAAGCCUCUUUUAUCUUUUCAAAUAUUUUAGCAGGAUCUCUGAAAGGAGAGGCUAUAAACUUCUAUGUCUAUUCUUCUAUCUUUAAAUUCA
rnacentral:lncRNA from 1 species